CCUAUAGGGUUUCUGCUGCCACACAGGGAUUGUUUAGGUGUUUUUUUUUUUUUUUCCCUUCAGCAAAUCAUAGUACGAAAACUUCGAUUUGGAGGUGAACUUAGAGCCUUAAAGGGGAUCUGAGAGCUUGCAUUUUGGACUUUUCAGUAGGGCCAGCCACUCUGUUCUUGCACUCUUGAUUCCUCUGCGUGCUAUCAUGAACCCAUCUAUAUAUUCCCUCAUUAUUUCUCUGAGUUUGUCGACACCCUCAGUAGAUUUUCUCAACUCUGCGGAAAUCUCUAAGACCAUCAUUUCGAGCUCUUCUUCAGGAAGUUGAUACAGACCUGUUAAAGCUGGAGUUUUCGUCAAGCUGCUGUCUUGCUCCAACAAGGCAGGUGAAUAGCAUUGCCUUUCGGUUAUGUUUGAUGCUCCACGGGCACCGCUGAGACAAAAUUCAUUGGAAGCAGUGGAAUCAUGUAGGCAUGAAGCCUCAGUGGUAACCCUGGUGAAAAAAGAAGAAGAAGAAGAAGAAGCUUCAAAUCAUAUUUGGAACAUUGACUACCAUUUGUUAGCUUUUGGU